GCCGGUUUAGCUUAAUUGGAUAAAGCUAUUGUUUUGUAAACAAUCGAGUAGAAGUUCGACUCUUCUAACCGGCA